CUUACUGACCUUGAAUCCAAAACAUAUGACAAGAGGAUGACAAGUUGACUUUCUUUCUUUCAUCCCUUUCUUUUACCUAAUUACCUACUCUUCAUAAUCAUCAUUAUCAUCACCUAAAAUGUCAAUAUCAACAUUAUUUUUAUCAUCUUAUGUUCAACAAUCGGUAAACCGUUAAAGUCAGGUUACCUGUUAAUGGAAGGAACAAAAUCUAAAGGUUUGGGGUUAUGUCAACCCUGGUAAACAAUCGGCUGAUUGUUGCGAAGCUUUGAUAGGAUAAAGGCAACCAUUACUAUCACCAAAAAAACACUUUUUGCUCGGUCAAACGGAUAUUUCUUGGUUCUAUUGUUAAUGAUUGAUCGUUGGUGUUGUUGUUUUUUGAAAUACAUUUCGACCUUUAACUUAUGAUAGCUGGUAAUUGGUCACAUAAUUGGUAAUCGAUCCAGGAAAUUUAUAAAUAGCCAAAAAGAUUGAACGGAGAUUGACGUCUGCAAUCAUCAUGUACAUCGUCAUCGCCAUUUUCCUUUAACGACCAAAGGAGUUCCCUGUUAAAUCAGGAAAAAAAAUUGCAAGCAGGAAAAGACAAUUAAAACAGAUUUUAUUGAAUCAAAGUCUGUUUCGAUAUUUAUUAGCUCAUCGAUCCAUGGAGACCAAAAGCAGGCACGCUCAAAUUCAGCAAAACCAACAUCAUUGACGCUUUUUUCACCGUUCUAGCCAACCUGAUCAAAUAAUUUACCAACAUAACUUGGAUUAUGUAAAAAUUUUCUUGUGCUAUUCAAGAUAUCGUCUUGAUUGAACUAAAUUCACCAAUGCGCUGCUCUUGAAGGCUAAUCGUAGACAACUCAACUAUAAAAGGCUAUCAGAUGGUUUAAUAUGGCAAGAAUGCUUCAAUAUUGCAGAAUCGGUUGAUUUCAGCUAAACUCGUUAAUGGACUUGACGUAUAUUCAACCAGUUGAUCAUAUUAGGUUAAAUUAGAUUUACCAAGAGCAAAAAACCAUUAGAUGAUUACUCUUGAGCAUUUUUGAGAGACAAAUAAUUUCUCUCUCUUCCAUUGGUUAUUCAAGAUGACAUUUUUAUUAAAACAUUAAUAAAAAUACGUCUAAUACAAGCAAUACUAACUCAAUAAGGUUCAUCAAUAAAUUGAUUAUUAAUGUUGUAAAUAUUACAAGGAUUGGUUGAUUAGCUAAUAAGGAAAUUUCCAUUUGGAAACUGGAAAAACUAAUAAUAAUUGAAACUAUUAUCAAGCCAAAGCUGAUGCCUGAAUUUACAAAAAAACUCAACUGGAUAUUGAUUUUUUCACAAAUUUUAUGGAUCAUCACACAUUUAACUGAUCAUAAAUUGUUCUACGUUAUUGAUCGAAAUUGACCUGAAAAAAAUUACAGUCUGCUGUUGGUCACAUGGAUUUGAUUGAAAUGGAUUGAUAAAUUAACAAACAUCCUUAUCCGUCAAUCCUACUGAAUUUACGCCAAAGGAGAAUCAAAAUUGAACCAUAAAUAGGAAAUGGAUAUUUCCUUUACCUUAACUUUCCUGAUUAAUUAAAGAACUAGAUCAUUUCAUUGAAUAUUUGAUACAAAAUUAUGAACAGCUUGGACUUGAAAACCAGAAAAACAAAGCAACAAUCAUAACAUCAAUUGGCCUGAACAAUCAAGGAAAAGCAAAGAAUCAACAUUUCAACCUGAAACAAUAUUUUUUAUUAUCUUUGAGUCCAAUGAUUAAUUAUUGUAAAGCUUUCAAAUGAUCAACCAAAUAAUCAUUAGAUUUCAACGGAUGUUUAAAUUGAUAUUGCCUGUUAAUCAUAAUGUUGGAGGAUGUUUGAGGUCAUUUUAACCCUCACUUGUACCGGAUUCAUUGAUGGGAAGUUUCAAAUCAACUUUCACUGUUUAGAUCGUUAGAUUAUUUUCAACCCUUCAUCGAUGGAUCUAUUUUAAUUAUCAAUGCGUAAAUUCAUCAAAAUUAUGAUUGAAAACAAGAUUUAGAUGAUAGCAAAAAAUAUCAGUGAACCAGUAAAUCUGUUUGGUGUAAAGGUUUCAAUAUUGAAAAUAAGAACCACUUUUUCAAUGAAUUUUUAUUAAAAUUUCCACUUUUCUUGAAA